UGGGGAAUAUUGGACAAUGGGGGAAACCCUGAUCCAGCAAUGCCGCGUGAGUGAAGAAGGCCUUAGGGUUGUAAAGCUCUUUCGCCCGCGAAGAUAAUGACGGUAGCGGGAGAAGAAGCCCCGGCUAACUCCGUGCCAGCAGCCGCGGUAAUACGGAGGGGGCUAGCGUUGUUCGGAAUUACUGGGCGUAAAGCGUACGUAGGCGGAUGCGCAAGUUGGGGGUGAAAUCCCGGGGCUUAACCUCGGAAUUGCCCUCAAAACUGCACGACUUGAGACCGAGAGAGGUAAGGGGAAUUCCUAGUGUAGAGGUGAAAUUCGUAGAUAUUAGGAAGAACACCAGUGGCGAAGGCGCCUUACUGGCUCGGUACUGACGCUGAGGUACGAAAGCGUGGGG
rnacentral:rRNA from 1 species